rnacentral:lncRNA from 1 species
AGUGGAGUGCGGUGAAAGAGGUGGAAAGGGAGAGCUGCGGAUGGGAAAUCGGGGAAAGGUUGGGGUGAAAUGGGAAGGGAAGGAAGUUGAGCGCGGUGAAAGGGGUGGAAAGGGAGAGUUGCGGAGGGGAAGUCGGAGAAAGGGUGGGGUGAAAUGGGAUGUGAAGGAAGUGGAGAUGGCGGGUGGAAAGCGUGGGGAGCGAGAAGCCGUGCGGGAGUGGCGAAGAAACACCGUGGCGAUUCGAAACAUUUUGAAAAGUGGGGACAAGUUAGGUUUUCGUUGUCUUUUGAUUAAAAAGAUGAGUGUGAAAAGUUGAGUGUUACCUUAUAUAGAGGCAGAGAGCUAGUUCAACAAGUGGGAUGCUCACUAGGAUUGUGGGCUGAGCCAUGGAGCAAUGAAUGUGGUCUGGGCUGCUUCUCAAGGACGCAUCAAACUCGCCAGAUUGUGGGCUGGGCCAUGAAGCAAUGAUUGUGAGCUGGGCUGCUUCUCAAGGACGCAUCAAACUCGCCAGAUUGUGGGUUGGGCAAUGGAGAAUUGAUUGUGGGCUGGGCUGCUUCUCACGGACGCAUCAAACUUGCCAGAUUGUGGGCUGGGCCAUCAAAUGAUGGCCCAUUGGGCUUCUUGGUGGAUCGCGGGUCAUAGGAGUAGGGUCAUAGGAGUUGCUUUGCGGAUCGCGGAUCAUCAUAGGAGCAGAUUGGGGAGCAAAAGAAUCAUAUAGACGCAAAGGAAAAUAAAACAAGAACAACUCAAAUUCAAAAAAAAAAACAAAAAAAGAGGUGGAAAGGGAAAGCUGCGGAGGGGAAAUCGGGGAAAGGGUGGGGUGAAAUCGGAAGAGAAGGAAGUUGGGCGCGGUGAAAGGGGUGGAAAGGGAGAGUUGCGGAGGGGAAGUCGGGGAAAGGGUGGGGUGAAAUGGGAAGGGAAGGAAGUGGAGCGCGGUGAAAGGGGUGGAAAGGGAGAGCUGCGGAGGGAAAAUCGGGGAAAUGACAGGGUGAAAUUGGAAGGGAAGGAAGUUGAGCGCAGUGAAAGGGGUGGAAAGGAAGAGUUGCGGAGGGGAAGUCGGGGAAAAGGUGGGGUGAAAUGAGAAGGGAAGGAAGUGGAGCGCGGUGAAAGGGGUGGAAAAGGAGAGUUGCGGAGGAGAAGUCGGGGAAAUGGUGGGGUGAAAUGGGAAGGAAAGGAAGUGGAGCGCGGUGAAAGGGGUGGAAAGGGAGAGUUGCGGAGGGGAAGUCGGGGAAAAGGUGGGGUGAAAUGGAAAGGGAAGGAAGUGGAGCGCGGUGAAAGGGGUGGAAAGGGAGAGCUGCGGAGGGGAAAUCGGGGAAUGGCGGGGUGAAAUGGGAAGGGAUAGAAGUUGAGCACAGUGAAAGGGGUGGAUAGGAAGAGUUGCGGAGGGGAAGUCGGGGAAAGGGUGGGGUGAAAUGAGAAGGGAAGAAAGUGGAGCGCGGUGAAAGGGGUGGAAAAGGAGAGUUGCAGAGGAGAAGUCAGGGAAAGGGUGGGGUGAAAUGGGAAGGAAAGGAAGUGGAGCGCGGUGAAAGGGGUGGAAAGGGAGAGCUGCGGAGGGGUAGUCGGAGAAAGGGUGGGGUGAAAUGGGAAGGAAAGGAAGUGGAGUGCGGUGAAAGGGGUGGAGAGGGAGAGCUACGGAGGAGAAAUCGGGGAAAUGGUGGGGUGAAAUGGGAAGGGAAGGAAGUUGAGCGCAGUGAAAGGGGUGGAAAGGGAGAGUUGCGGAGGGGAAGUCGGGGAAAGAGUGGGGUGAAAUGGGAAGGGAAGGAAGUGGAGCGCGGUGAAAGGAGUGGAAAGGGAGAGCUGCGGAGGGGAAAUUGGGGAAAUGGUGGGGUGAAAUGGGAAGGGAAGGAAGUUGAGCGCGGUGAAAGGGGUGGAAAGGAAGAGUUGCGGAGGGGAAGUCGGAGAAAGGGUGGGGUGAAAUGAGAAGGCUAGGAAGUGGAGCGCGGUGAAAGGGGUGGAAAAGGAGAGUUGCGGAGGAGAAGUCCGGGAAAGGGUGGGGUUAAAUGGGAAGGGAAGGAAGUGGAGCGCGGUGAAAGGGGUGGAAAGGGAGAGCUGCGGAGGGGAAAUCGGGGAAAGGGUGGGGUGAAAUGGGAAGGGAAGGAAGUGGAGAUGGCGGGUGGAAAGCGUGGGGAGCGAGAAGCCGUGCGGGAGUGGCGAAGAAACACCGUGGCGAUUCGAAACAUUUUGAAAAGUGGGGACAAGUUAGGUUUUCGUUGUCUUGUGAUUAAAAAGAUGAGUGUGAAAAGUUGAGUGUGAAAAGUUGAGUGUUACCUUAUAUAGAGACAGAGAGCUAGGUCAACAAGUGGGAUGCUCACUAGGAUUGUGGGCUGAGCCAUGGAGCAAUGAUUGUGGGCUGGACUGCUUCUCAAGGACGCAUCAAACUCACCAGAUUGUGGGCUGGGCCAUGAAGCAAUGAUUGUGAGCUGGGCUGCUUCUCAAGGAUGCAUCAAACUCGCCAGAUUGUGGGUUGGGCCAUGGAGAAUUGAUUGUGGGCUGGGCUGCUUCUCACGGACG